GGCGAGUGAGUUGAACGCUGGAUAGACGAGGCGGUGGUCCCACGACCCACAGUAUCCGUAGCGGGUCCUAAGUCCCAAGUUACAACCUGCCAGCGUCGGUCCCAGCCGACCGUAUAACCUACAAAAUUCUACUCCAGCAGCAGCGGUUCUCCCUCGUUCGUACAUCCUUGCGAUAAAUUAUCUUAUUAUCGUCGAUCGAGUCGUAUUAUGCGAGCCUGCACCGGCCGGGAACGAGAGAAACUCAAUUAUACCGACUCGUCUGCGUUGUGACGUUACAGUCCGGGGUCCGGCAUCGUUUUCUUUAUUCUUCGUCUCGUUUUUCAAUCGGUAUACACGAUAUACAGCUGGCUCGCUAUGUUUGGUAUCGGGAGCAGAAAAGUGUUGAAAUAUUCCGCCAUUGACACUUCCUUAGCACUGGACGUCGAGGACACCGUCACUUGCUUCUGCAGUACGCGAGAGAAAUUUAGCGGAAUCAGCGAUAAUCACUUGGAGUCAUCGUCGUCGUCGUCGGUAUCAGCAUCGGGAACACAUACGCCGAUAAUGAUGCGGUCGCCGGCACGGGGGGCUGUCGCCCUUACGGAGACGACGACGUCCUCGGCCUCGGCGCCCGCCACCCCCGUGCACAACUCCUCCUCGUCCUCGUCCUCGGCAACCGGAGGAACAAACGUCUCCUCGCGGCUCUCCCUAUUUGACACCUGCCACAGGAAGAUACGACUCUUCGGUGAAUUAGUCGCAAAAGCCCGACGGAAGGAGAAAGAUGCCGGAGCCACGGAAGAUCCCAAAUUGUACCUGGAGGAAGCCGCUUUGGAACGACAGCUUCCGGAACUUGACCUGAGGAUGCUUGUCGACCUACCGGCUGGUCUCGAUUACAACGAAUGGCUAGCCUCCCACACUCUCGCACUUUUUGACCACAUCAAUCUCUUCUACGGAACGAUAUCCGAGUUUUGUACGAUGACGGGAUGCCCCGACAUGACGGGUCCUGGUUUGAGGACGUAUUUAUGGUUUGACGAAAAAGGAAAAAAGACUAGAGUGGCUGCUCCACAAUACAUAGACUACGUCAUGACAUUUACACAGCGUACUGUUAGUGAUGAAACAAUAUUCCCUACUAAAUAUGCCAACGAGUUUCCAAGCUCGUUUGAAUCGAUAGUGCGUAAGAUCCUGCGAUUGCUGUACCAUGUUGUUGCGCACAUAUAUCACUGUCACUUUAGGGAAGUUGCACUAUUGGGAUUGCAUGCGCAUCUCAAUUGUGUAUUCGCCCAUCUUACACUUCUUAAUCAACGCUUCAACCUUAUCGACCCAAAGGAGACUGAGAUCCUUGGGGACUUAGAAGCUGCUCUUUUAGGUGAUUCUACGCCUGCUUCUUCACAACCCCCAGCCAUCCAGGAAACUCCAACCACAACUACCUAGGUAGAUCCUGUUAAAUGAAGCUAGAGGUUGCAGUUCCUGAGAUCAGAUAACGCUAGACGUUAACUGUUGACUAUAGAGUUAUGAGAGUUUUGGAGUUUCCAUACAGAAUAUAGGCAAGUCGAUGAAAAGCGCAGUUCUGUAAAAACCAGUAGUACCUGUACAUAGAGGAGUGUGGAAAACAACUACAAGAUGUAAUUAGGGUUCCUCUGUUUGUUGUUUCUACAUGGGAUCCAGAUUAGACGAAACGAAUAAACUACCCCUUUGCAAAAUACGUGUACUCCCGCAACUGGAUUUCUACUAGCUGAAACAAUCGCACACAAAGAAGUAUCCAACAUUCACAGUCGUACUAUCAAUACUUGAGAAUAAUGUAACAAAAUGUUCUACAGUGACUUCUCUUCCGUUCAUUGAUACAUUAUUCAUUUCCUUAUUGUGAUACAAUCGACCUUUGGACUCAUGGAAUAAUGACGUUACCUAUAUUUUUAUACUAGUUACAAGCGGCAUGCAUAAUUAAUUAUAAUAAUUCUACCAGUUAUUACUAGUUAUAUGACUUAAUGAGUAGCCUCUAGUCACGUACAACUGUUGUUGGUGCAAUUGUUCACUUCGACAAUCCUAAACGCCCUGAAUACCUGAGCUAUCUCUCUUAGAAAGAAACCAAGUCCCUCUGCUAUUGGUUCACAGAGGUCUCGAAAAGAUGUAGCUAUAUUGUACAACAGUAUGAGUACCGGUUGUAUCGUCGCAUUGAAUAACAUUGACAAUGAUGGCUUCAGAAA
rnacentral:misc_RNA from 1 species